rnacentral:rRNA from 1 species
GACGAACGCUGGCGGCGUGCUUAACACAUGCAAGUCGAGCGGUAAGGCCCUUUCGGGGGUACACGAGCGGCGAACGGGUGAGUAACACGUGGGUGACCUGCCCUUAGCUCUGGGAUAAGCCUGGGAAACUGGGUCUAAUACCGGAUAUGACUCCAUGACGCAUGUUGUGGGGUGGAAAGCCUUGUGCGGCUAGGGAUGGGCCCGCAGCCUAUCAGCUUGUUGGUGGGGUGAUGGCCUACCAAGGCGACGACGGGUAGCCGGCCUGAGAGGGCGACCGGCCACACUGGGACUGAGACACGGCCCAGACUCCUACGGGAGGCAGCAGUGGGGAAUCUUGCGCAAUGGGCGAAAGCCUGACGCAGCGACGCCGCGUGGGGAUGACGGCCUGU